rnacentral:lncRNA from 1 species
UGCUGUUUCUGCAGUUAUUUUUGAGAACUAUUCUGUAUUUCUAGGAGUGUGCUUGAAUCAGAAGAGCUGAAAUAUGGCAUUGGCAGCAUGUAGAUUUUGAUUCACUCCUCUCACUGGCGAAGUCCGCCUCUCCCUAUGCAAUGCUGAAGGAAUAUAUUCGUGCUCAUGAUGUCCCUAUUUAUCACUACAUUUGCAAACAUGACCCAGGAAGUCAGACUCCAUUAUAGCAUCAAUCACCAGUCCAAGGGGAAAUUAACCAAAAAGAGGGUUUUUCUUCCAACAGCGAGCAAGCAAACAACAACAAAAUACCAUCUUGACAAGAUACUAAAAGUUUAUAGUUUCAAAAAGGGACUGGAGAAAUGCACAGAAAUGCAUUCCUUGGAAGCUGUGGUAUUCACCUCCCACUCCAGAAGUUCUUGAACUUGAAACGACUGAAGGUUGGGAAAGCUGGUUUUCUGAAGCUGGGAAAACGUCAUGAUACGUUUACCUUGUUGUUAUAUUCCUCUACAGAAACAGGAUCCCAGCUGAGCGUAACUCCUGUAUUGCCCUCAAAACGAUUACAGGAUUUCAACCAAGGAGCAAAUACAAAUUCUAAGCCCAAUUCUUUGUCAGCUCUCUUCAUCAUGCAGCGAUGUUCCGGCAAAUAA